rnacentral:lncRNA from 1 species
GGGGAUAUAACUUCUACCAUGCUAAAGAACAAGAGUUGUUCAGCAUUCUUUUCAAAAAAAGGAAUACUUUGGUAAAGGUACUGAUACGUUUAAUGUGAAACUUAUGAAGUUUGAUAGGUAGAAGAAUUGACACAAUCUUGUGAAUCCAUAGAAUUAAAUUUGAUCAGAUCAAACUCAAAAUCUAUUGUAGAGACACCAUUAAGAAAAUUUGAUAGAGUACUGUAUCCGUCA